AUUGAACGCUGGCGGCAUGCUUUACACAUGCAAGUCGAACGGCAGCGCGGGCUUCGGCCUGGCGGCGAGUGGCGAACGGGUGAGUAAUGCAUCGGAACGUGCCCAGUAGUGGGGGAUUGCCCGGCGAAAGCCGGAUUAAUACCGCAUACGACCUGAGGGUGAAAGCGGGGGACCGAAAGGCCUCGCGCUAUUGGAGCGGCCGAUGUCGGAUUAGCUAGUUGGUGGGGUAAAGGCUUACCAAGGCGACGAUCCGUAGCUGGUCUGAGAGGACGACCAGCCACACUGGGACUGAGACACGGCCCAGACUCCUACGGGAGGCAGCAGUGGGGAAUUUUGGACAAUGGGGGCAACCCUGAUCCAGCCAUGCCGCGUGCGGGAAGAAGGCCUUCGGGUUGUAAACCGCUUUUGUUCGGGAAGAAAUCCUCUGGGCUAAUACCCCGGGGGGAUGACGGUACCGGAAGAAUAAGCACCGGCUAACUACGUG
rnacentral:rRNA from 1 species